rnacentral:rRNA from 1 species
GAACGCUGGCGGCUGCUUAACACAUGCAAGUCGAACGAGAGCGUAGAGAAAGCUUGCUUUUUCUACAAUCUAGUGGCAAACGGGUGAGUAACGCGUAAACAACCUGCCCUACGGAUGGGGACAACAGCUGGAAACGGCUGCUAAUACCGAAUACGUUCCGAAAGUCGCAUGACUAUCGGAAGAAAGGAUGGCCUCUAUUUAUAAGCUAUCGCCGGAGGAGGGGUUUGCGUCUGAUUAGCUAGUUGGAGGGGUAACGGCCCACCAAGGCGACGAUCAGUAGCCGGUCUGAGAGGAUGAACGGCCACAUUGGAACUGAGACACGGUCCAGACUCCUACGGGAGGCAGCAGUGGGGAAUCUUCCGCAAUGGGCGAAAGCCUGACGGAGCAACGCCGCGUGAGUGAAGACGGCCUUCGGGUUGUAAAGCUCUGUUAUACGGGACGAAUAGUCUUGUGGUUAAUACCCAUAAGAAGUGACGGUACCGUAAGAGAAAGCCACGGCUAACUACGUGCCAGCAGCCGCGGUAAUACGUAGGUGGCAAGCGUUGUCCGGAAUUAUUGGGCGUAAAGGGCGCGCAGGCGGCUUCUUAAGUCUGUCUUAAAAGUGCGGGGCUUAACCCCGUGAUGGGAUGGAAACUGGGAAGCUCAGAGUAUCGGAGAGGAAAGCGGAAUUCCUAGUGUAGCGGUGAAAUGCGUAGAUAUUAGGAGGAACACCAGUGGCGAAAGCGGCUUUCUGGACGAAAACUGACGCUGAGGCGCGAAAGCCAGGGGAGCGAACGGGAUUAGAUACCCCGGUAGUCCUGGCCGUAAACGAUGGGUACUAGGUGUAGGAGGUAUCGACCCCUUCUGUGCCGGAGUUAACGCAAUAA